rnacentral:rRNA from 1 species
CACGUAGGGGCGAGCGUUGUCCGGAAUUACUGGGCGUAAAGGGCGCGCAGGCUGUUAUGCGAGUCUGCUGUGAAAUGUACCGGCUCAACCGGUGCCUUGCGGCGGAUACUGCAUAGCUGGAGUACUGGAGAGGGAAGUGGAAUUCCUGGUGUAGCGGUGGAAUGCGCAGAGAUCAGGAGGAAUACCGAAGGCGAAGGCAGUCUUCCAAGCCGUUAUUGACGCUCAACUGCGAAGGUGUGGGUAUCAAACAGGAUUA